CUUUGCUGCUUUGAAGCAAGCCAUGGAGGAGGGAUGGAUGGAAGCCAUUGCUCUCCUUCCUUCCCUCCUCUGAGGCUCGCUUUAAAGCAGCAAA